UGGUUUGAUUCUGGCUCAGGAUGAACGCUAGCGACAGGCCUAACACAUGCAAGUCGAGGGGCAUCGGGGCUAGGAGCUAUCCUUGCCGCCGGCGACCGGCGCACGGGUGAGUAACGCGUAUGCGACCUGCCCGUUGCAGGGGGAUAAUCGGGAGAAAUCCCGUCUAAUACCGCGUAACGCCGCGGGGCUGCAUGGCCCUGCGGCCAAAGGGAGCGAUUCCGGCAACGGAUGGGCAUGCGUGACAUUAGCUAGUUGGCGGGGCAACGGCCCACCAAGGCGACGAUGUCUAGGGGUUCUGAGAGGAAGGUCCCCCACACUGGUACUGAGACACGGACCAGACUCCUACGGGAGGCAGCAGUGAGGAAUAUUGGUCAAUGGGCGCGAGCCUGAACCAGCCAAGUCGCGUGAGGGAUGACGGCCCUACGGGUUGUAAACCUCUUUUGUCGGGGAGCAAAUUCCGCCACGUGUGGCGGAGUCGAGAGUACCCGAAGAAAAAGCAUCGGCUAACUCCGUGCCAGCAGCCGCGGUAAUACGGAGGAUGCGAGCGUUAUCCGGAUUUAUUGGGUUUAAAGGGUGCGUAGGCGGACUGUCAAGUCAGCGGUAAAAUACGGGGGCUCAACCUCCGCCCGCCGUUGAAACUGACGGUCUUGAGUGGGCGAGAAGUAUGCGGAAUGCGUGGUGUAGCGGUGAAAUGCAUAGAUAUCACGCAGAACUCCGAUUGCGAAGGCAGCAUACCGGCGCCCGACUGACGCUGAAGCACGAAAGCGUGGGUAUCGAACAGGAUUAGAUACCCUGGUAGUCCACGCAGUAAACGAUGAAUACUAGCUGUCCGGGGCGAAUGAGCCCUGGGUGGCACAGCGAAAGCGUUAAGUAUUCCACCUGGGGAGUACGCCGGCAACGGUGAAACUCAAAGGAAUUGACGGGGGCCCGCACAAGCGGAGGAACAUGUGGUUUAAUUCGAUGAUACGCGAGGAACCUUACCCGGGCUCAAACGACACAGGAACGUACCUGAAAGGGUUCGGCUCUACGGAGCCUGUGUCGAGGUGCUGCAUGGUUGUCGUCAGCUCGUGCCGUGAGGUGUCGGCUUAAGUGCCAUAACGAGCGCAACCCCCAUCGACAGUUGCUAGCAGGUCAGGCUGAGGACUCUGUCGAGACUGCCGGCGCAAGCUGCGAGGAAGGCGGGGAUGACGUCAAAUCAGCACGGCCCUUACGUCCGGGGCGACACACGUGUUACAAUGGCAGGUACAGCGGGAAGCCACCUGGCGACAGGGAGCGGAACCCGAAAGCCUGUCUCAGUUCGGAUUGGAGUCUGCAACCCGACUCCAUGAAGCUGGAUUCGCUAGUAAUCGCGCAUCAGCCACGGCGCGGUGAAUACGUUCCCGGGCCUUGUACACACCGCCCGUCAAGCCAUGGAAGCCGGGGGUGCCUGAAGUGCGCUGCCGCGAGGAGCGCCCUAGGGUAAAACCGGUGACUGGGGCUAAGUCGUAACAAGGUAUCC
rnacentral:rRNA from 1 species